CGUGUAGGCGGGUAAGCAAGUCAGAUGUGAAAUACCGGGGCUCAACUCCGGAACUGCAUCUGAAACUGCAUAUCUUGAGUACUGGAGAGGAAAGUGGAAUUCCUAGUGUAGCGGUGAAAUGCGUAGAUAUUAGGAGGAACACCAGUGGCGAAGGCGGCUUUCUGGACAGUAACUGACGCUGAGGCGCGAAAGCGUGGGGAGCAAACAG
rnacentral:rRNA from 1 species